CUCGAGAGUGCUAGCUCGUGAAGACACCAUACUCUUGGCUGAUCUAAGAAGAACAUGAAGAAGAUGAAGAAUAAAGAGAUUCUCUCUUUUUCUUCCUGCAUCUAUGCAUCAAAUCUCUAUGAUAGAGAUCAAGAGAAGAAUCAUUUCUUCUCAAUUCUCCUACACACAAGAGAGAACUUUUCUCUCUUUCUUUCAUGCCUUUAACAAAAAUUUUUCUUCUCUAAUUUUUUAUGAUAAAAAUUAAAUCUAAUCUAAUUCUUCAUACAAAAAAUUAUAUAAAAUUUUAAACUUUAGAAGAACCCAAA
rnacentral:lncRNA from 1 species